rnacentral:rRNA from 1 species
ACGAACGUUGGCGGCGUGCCUAAUACAUGCAAGUCGCGCGAGAAGCGGGGGGCAACUCCCGUGGUAAAGCGGCGAAAGGGUGAGUAAUACGUGGACAACCUGCCCUCGUGACCGGCAUAACCCAGGGAAACUUGGGCUAAUUCCGGAUGGCAUCCCGACGGCGCAUGCCGAUGGGAUUAAAGCGUGCCGAAAGGUACGUACUCGGGGAGGGAUUCACGGCCUAUCAGCUUGUUGGCGGGGUAACGGCCCACCAAGGCUUUGACGGGUAGCCGGACUGAGAGGUCGAACGGCCACAUGGGCACUGAGACACGGGCCCAACACCUACGGGUGGCAGCAGUAGGGAAUAUUGCGCAAUGGGCGAAAGCCUGACGCAGCGACGCCGCGUGCGGGACGAAGCUCUUCGGAGUGUAAACCGCUUUUCUGGGGUAUGAACACUGACCUAACCCCAGGAAUAAGCACCGGCAAACUCCGU